GGAUGUCUGGCAGCAUGAAGCAGGAACCCUGUAGCAUGACCAUCUUGUUUCAGCAGUCACUUUCCUCACCAAGCUAUUCCGGAGAACCAAUGUCACUCCUCAGCUAAUGGCCUUUGGGCAAAGAACUGCCCCCACCUCGACUGCUGACUUUGGACAUGCUGUCCUACUGUGCUUGCAGGAGAUAAAUUAGAAGACUGCUGGACCUUGCCAAGCAAGGUAUGGGCACGCCAACCAUAAAAUGAUAUGUGAGUUCAUUACAACGGAACAGCCCAGG
rnacentral:lncRNA from 1 species